ensembl:lncRNA
UGCAGGGUGGCCAUUUAUUUGCUGCUGUCGACUCAUUCUCCCAACCUUCUCUGAGCUCUAAAGGAUCUGGAAUUCUCAGAAUCCCUUUCCACAUGCGUAGCCUACGCCAUCUCCGUCGCGGAGCCCCCAGCUCCCCUGCCUCCUCUCCAGCACCAGCUUCAGCACCAGUACCAGCUCGGACACCGACCCUGUCAACAUCAACCUCCAGCACGUCACAGCAACGUCUUAUCACCGGCAAGAGGAAAGGGGCCACAGAAAAUUGGACCUUCCAGGCGUACUUGUGGAGAUGCAGGCUGAGGAGGAGUGGAGUCAUGCCCGGCAUGAUGACAACAUCUGGUUGCUCCUCAGUGAGGCAAGAGAGAAUGAAGCGGCCUUGCAGUGGGAGGAGAUGGCCCAGAAUGCUGCCUUCAACCAGUCAUUCCUGGGUGUGCUGGGGCAGCUGGUGCAGGCAGUGCUGGGUGUGCUGGGGUAGCUGGGGCAGGCAGUGGGCAGCCGGCGAGUGUGAGCGAGUCCACCUCCCGUAGACUUGAGAUUUACAAGUGCUGGUCAUAUAAUUAGAAUAUCAUGAAAAAGCUCAUCUUUUGGACAACUGUCAGGUCAGCAGUCUUCCUCAUGAUUGUGUAGCCUACAGAACUAGACUGAAAAGACCAUUUAAAGGCCUUUGCAGGUGUUUUGCGUUAAUUAGCUGAUUAGAGGUGUCUUCAGUAUUGAACCUUUCCACAAUAUUCUAAUUUUCUGAGAUACCAAAUUUGGGAUUUUCGUUAUUAUUCAGGUAUAAUCAUCAAAGUUAAGAGAAACAUUUGAAAUAUAUCAGUCUCUGUGUAAUGAAUGAGUAUAAUAUACAAGUUUCUCUUUUUGAAUGGAAUUACUGAAAUAAAUCAACUUUUUCAUGAUAUUCUAAUUAUAUGACCAGCACCUGUAGUUGUAUAAAGUUUUACUUUUAGCCCUCCACUGUAGGAGAGGCCCACCACAGUUUGUACUUUGCACAUUGUAAAUAGUUUUGAUUUUGCUGCUGACUAAUAAACUAUUUUGUGAC